CAGAGAACCAGAGGCUGGCUGCCACACAUAGCAACUUGAGACAGGAACUUGCUGCUGCACAGCAUGAGUUGCAGAUAUUACAUGCUCACAUAGGUGCUAUCAAGUCUGAAAGAGAACUACAUAUGAGGAGCCUUGUGGAUAAAAUUUCCAAGAUUGAAACAGAGCUGAAGGCUGCAGAGCCUGUUAGGUCGGAGUUGCAUCAGGCACGAACAGAAGCUGAGAACUUGGUUGUAGCAAGGCAGGAGCUUGUGUCGAAAGUGCAUCAUUUGACUCAGGAUCUUCAUAGGGCCCAUGCAGAUGUGCUAGCAGAUUCCUGUUCUGAUGUCGGAACUUGAAAGUCUCAGACAGGAAUAUCAGCGAUGCAGGGUUUCAUAUGACUAUGAAAAGAAAUUAUUCAGUGACCACCUGGAGUCACUUCAGGCCAUGGAGAAAAACUAUGUUACAAUGGCUAGGGAAGUGGAAAAGCUUCGUUUAGAACUUACUAACACAGCUAAUGCUGAUAUGAAAACUGUUGCUGGUGGGCCAUAUGGUGGUGCCACUGGGAACAAUGAGAAUGAGGCUUCUGGUCGGCCUGUUGGACAAAAUAUAUAUGAAGAUAGCUAUGGUGUUCCUCAUGGCCAGGGCCAUUCUGCCGUUCCUGGUAACUCUGGUGCUGGAGCUGGUGCUGCCAAUGCUAAUAUGGUAGCUAAUUCUGGUACUGGGACUCCUACUUAUGCCGGAGCUCCAUCUAGCUCCACAGCUCCAAAAUCUGCUUAUGAUGCAUCCAGAGUCCCUGGAUAUGAUUCAUCAAGAGGACCUGGAUAUGAUGUAUUGAGAGGAGCUGGUUAUGAUGCACAAAGGGGACACAAUUAU
rnacentral:misc_RNA from 1 species